AUUGAACGCUGGCGGCAGGCCUAACACAUGCAAGUCGAACGAGUGGCGGACGGGUGAGUCAUGUCUGGGAAACUGCCCGAUGGCGGGGGAUACCUACUGGAAACGGUAGCUCAUACCGCAUCCCAUCGGAUGUGCCCAGAUGGGAUUAGCUAGUUGGUGGGGUAACGGCUCACCUAGGCGACGAUCCCUAGCUGGUCUGAGAGGAUGACCAGCCACAAGGGAACUGAGACACGGUCCAGACUCCUACGGGAGGCAGCAGUGGGGAAUAUGGCACAAUGGGCGCAAGCCUGAUACAGCCAUGCCGCGUGUAUGAAGAAGGCCUUCGGGUUGUAAAGUACUUUCAGCGAGGAGGCGUUACUCGCAGAAGAAGCACCGGCUAACUCCGUGCCAGCAGCCGCGGUAAUUC
rnacentral:rRNA from 1 species